rnacentral:tRNA from 1 species
GCGGGGGUGGCAGAGCCUGGCCAAAUGCGUAAGGUUGAGGGCCUUAUCCCUUAGUGGGUGCGCGUGUUCGAAUCACGUCCCCCGCA